rnacentral:tRNA from 1 species
GCCGAAGUGGCGGAAUUGGCAGACGCAGUGGACUCAAAAUCCACCGUCCCCUAAAGACGUGCCGGUUCGAGUCCGGCCUUCGGCA